GUGUCAGCAGCCGCGGUAAGACAGAGGGUGCAAACGUUGUUCGGAAUUACUGGGCGUAAAGCGCGUGUAGGCUGUCCUGCAAGUCAGGUGUGAAAGCCCUGGGCUCAACCUAGGAAGUGCACUUGAAACUGCGGGAAUCGAGGGCUGGAGAGGGAAGCGGAAUUCUCGGUGUAGAGGUGAAAUUCGUAGAUAUCGAGAGGAACACCGGUGGCGAAGGCGGCUUCCUGGACAGUUACUGACGCUGAGACGCGAAAGCGUGGGGAGCAAACAGGAUUAGAUACCCUCGUAGUCC
rnacentral:rRNA from 1 species